CAAAGCUUACCAAAAUAAUAAUACUAAUAUUUUUACUCGUUCUUUACCAACCCACUUUCCCUUCUUGUUGGUAGGGAGAACGAGUAUUGUUCUCAGUGCUGUGUAACCCUUUUUCUGUUCCUGUUUUCAUCUCAGAACACACAACACCUACAGACAUGACAAUAGUACCACUGUGAAGCGGGGACGCUGGUCUCAAUUAAAGCAAUGAACUUUUUUUCAGGUUUAAUAGUAUAAUUUUGCGUACUCUUAACAAAUUUUGUGUGUUUUCAUUCUAAGUCCCCGGCCAGAGCUCUUUUGGGCAUGUCGAAAAACGUAGUGUUGGGCCACGAAAAUGAUUGAUCAGUGGAUACUUGCAUUCUACAGAUGUGAUUGACAAUGUUUUAUUAAUACCCUUUUCCCACGAUCAAAGCAUUUUUAAGAGUUUACUUAAUAGAUCCUCGAAAAAUCCUCUAAGUCCCGUGACGGUGGAAGAAGAGACUAAGGUUAUGGCCGCGCCGUGCUGCCACCUUUGGGCAGACAUGGUAACUACUUCACACGGAGCGCGCGCUUUGCGACGAAGUUCUCCGUGCUCUCCACAGAGCGCGACACUAUGUCUGCAAAGGGGUGAACAUGAUCCACGGCCAGUGGCGGGGACCGGCGGGCGUUUUGUUUAUAGUUAUGAAUUCCAAGAAGGGCCCGAAGGCCCGAUAGUGGAUGCUGGAGGGGCAAGGGCAUGCCAGUUGUGUGUCGGUGUCCCACUGUUGCGCAACUUGGGUAUUCCCUUUGUCAGGUGGUGUUGUUCUUUUUCAUCUGACUUUUGAAAUCUCCUCCUGGAAGACAACUCAAAAAGGUUGGAUAUUUCCUGUGUUCAUGUUGUGUCGUGUUUGGCAAGUCUGUUGACUUCUCUUCCUCAAGUGUGUGCAAAAAACAUUGCCAAAAUUUAGUGACCAUAUAUUCCAAGUGACAUUAGUGUUUUGUUGCAAGUGGACUUGUGACCUCUGCUACAGGAGAGUACUCCAGCCUGAAGACAACAAAAACAGAGCACAGGUCAGUUCAAUUUUGGUAAUGUUUCCUGAAACUUUUCGAGAACCGUGAAGACACCUAGAAAUAUGCCAAACAUUCGUAGCAGUACUGUUUAUAAAAGGAAACUAUAUAUUGAAAAAAAAGAAAAGCAAGCAAAUCGAUUAUGUCAAAUUAAUACAUUAAAAAAAAAAAGUAGAUUCUCAAAAUUUCAAAAUAAUGAAGAAAUUGAUGACCAUUUAAAAGCGAUAAAACGUCAAAAGACAAAUCUAAAGGUACAAAAAUUCAGAGAGAUUGAAAAAAAUAAAACAGCAUAUAAUGAGAAAAGGAAAGUUGCUGCUUUUACAUGGGCCAAAGCUCACGAAAUUUAUGAAAGUGAAAUUAGGGAGCUGCAUUGUCACAUCUGUAAUUCAUGUGGGAAACUUUGUAAAAGAAACCAAGUGAAAACUAUAAAAAAGUCUUCUUUGAAAGAAAAAGGUUUUAGAACCUCUGCUAUUAGAAAAAUAUUUUCCGUUCAAAACCUACACUCUGAAGAGUUCUGUACUACAUGUGUAACUUACAUAAACAAAGGUAACAUACCUAAAUUAUGUUUGGCAAAUGGACUUCAACUGCCCGAUGUAGAUGAAGACAUUGCAAAAUUAAAUCGUAUUGAGGAGAGGCUACUUGCACCAAGGCACGUAUUCCAAACAUUGUGGACUGUUAAUGGUGGUAGUGGGCAAUACAAAACUAAAGGUGGUAUUGUCAAUGUGCCUGUUGAUAUGGAUACAACUGUUAGUCAUAUUCCAAGAUCACUGGAGGAUUCCCAUAUGAUUCAUGUCAAACUUGCCAGGAGAAUGCAAUACGUCAGUAAUUACAUGUCUGGUAAUGUCCGUCCAAAACUUUUGUAUAAUGCAGCGAAAAAAUUUGUUCGGAAACCUCUGGCAAUGGAAGAAGGAAUUGAAUUAUCCACAGAUUGGUAUGCUCCUGAAAUUGAUGAUGAAAUGAAUGAUGUCAAUCAUGAUACAGAGUUUUAUAGUCACAAUGCAGUUUUUGAAACAUUAUUAACAUGUGAUAACAUGGAUUUCAUGGGAUCAUCAAAUAAUGGAAUAAGAUUUGCACCUGCAGAAAACUUUAAGCCAACAAGUAUUCUAUUUGAUGACAAUUGUGAGUUUAUGGCUUUCCCAAAAAUUUUUGGUGGUUACAAAAUGGAACCAGAAUACAACAACAAGAAAAUUUCAUAUGCUGAUUUUGCAAAGUCAUUGAUUUUAAGACAUGAUAGGAGAGUUGCAGAAAGAGGAGACUUGCUUUUAUUUAUGGCCAAGAAAUUGGAACUAUUGAAACUGUACAACAGCAUUGGAAUAUGUUUAAGAAAAAAGUCUUUAAAGAAUAAAAAUGUCACUGCACGUGAUAUGUGUGAUUCAAAUUAUGUCAAUGGGGUUGUUCAUCAUAAUGAUGGUUACAAGAUUUUGAAAGGCAUUCGAAGUAGCCCUGCUCAUUGGCAACAGGAGAAGGUGAAAUUGAUGUCCCAAAUACGACAAUUUGACUUACCAACAUUGUUCCUUACUUUAUCAUCUGCUGAUACUAGAUGGCCUGAAUUAAUGGUUGCUUUAAAGAAAUCAGUUGACAACAAAAUUAUUUCUGAAAAGGAAGCAUCAGAAUUAUCCUCUCAUGAAAGGCUACAACUAUUACAAAAAGAUCCUGUUACUGCAGCACUUCACUUUGACCAGAGGUUCAAAGCAGUUCAACGUACAUGGAAGAGCCAUGAAGGCCCAUUCCUGCAUUAUAAAAUUUCACACCACUACCACAGAAUAGAGUUUCAACAGCGAGGAUCCCCCCAUGUCCAUAUGUUACUGUGGUUGGAAGGUGCUCCUAAAUUUAAUGUCAAUGAUCCCCAUACAUAUAUUGAUGUCAUUACUUUCAUUGACAAGAUUAUUUCAUGUUCAUCUGAAAACUUAGAAGAGGAUUUAGUUAAACUUCAAACCCAUAAGCAUUCUCACACUUGCAAGAGAAAAAAUGGCAACAGUGAUGACUGUAGGUUUGGCAUUCCUUACUUUCCAAUGAAAACCACUCGGAUUCUUUCACCUUUACCAAAUGAUGUGGAAGUGAGAGUUCUUGCCAAAUACAAACGUAUCCUACAAAAAAUAAAAAAUAUAUUAAAUGAACCAAAGACUACCCUUUUAAGUUAUGAAGAUUUUUUAAAUGCUCUCCAUCUCACUGAAAAGAGGUACCUUAAAGUGAUAAGAUCAACUCUUCGUACCCACCAAGUUUUCAUUAAAAGAAAACCAAAAGAUACUUUCAUAAGCCCAUAUUCAAGGAAAAUAUUAACUUUGAUGAGAAGUAACAUGAAUCUACAAUUUGUUCUUGAUGCUUAUGGGGCAGCAUGCUACAUAAUUGACUACAUCAACAAAUCAUGUAGAGGGAUGAGCAAAAUUAUGCGCAAUGUACUCAAGGAAAUUAGAGAAGGAAAUGAAAAUUUACAGCAAUCUCUAAGGAAAAUUAGUAACACAUUUCAUAACAAUAGUGAACUUAGCAUUCAAGAAGCAGUGUACAAUAUCUUACAAUUACCACUGUCCAAAUCCAGUGAGGAGUGCAUUUUCAUUCCAACGUUCCCACCACAAGAAAGAGUACAUUUGGUUAAGAGUCAAAGUGAACUUGAAAUGUUGGAUGAGACAUCCACUGAUAUUUAUGAACAUGGACUACUUGAACACUAUGUACAUCGUCCACAUUCUUUGGAAGAUCUGUCAUUAGCUGACUUUGCAGCUAAUUACAGAUAUGCUUCAAAAUGUGGACCAAAUUCUAUCCCUUUGUUGAAUAAUAAUGGUCACAUAUUCCUCAGGAGGCAGCCUCGAGUUAUUCGUUUCAGAAAUUAUCAUUAUGAAAUAGACUCUGAAAAUUUCUUAAGAGAACAAGUCAUGCUUUAUGUACCAUGGAGGAAUGAGGAGAGAGACAUCAUAAAUCAAGAUCUGGAAACUCAGUUUCACAACAACAAAGAGCAAAUUAGAACAAUCAGGAAAAAAUACAGCACAUUUGAUGAUAAAGCAUUAUUUGAUGCUUUGGAGGUUGCUAUGGAACGAACUGAAAGUGACGAAGAAGCCUUUGAUAAGGGAACUAGACCAACUUUUGAUUUUGAUGAUUUUUCACUACAAGAUGAAUAUAACUUUGCUGAUAUCCAACGGGAAUUUGAAGAAGAUUACUCAUCUCAUGUGUCUUUCACAUCACCAGUUAAAAUGCCCAACAAAGAUUAUCAGGAUUUGGUGACAAAAUUGAAUCAAGAGCAAAGGAACUAUGUCAUGCAUGUUGUAGAUACUCUAGAAAAAACUGAAGAGCAAGUACUUCACUUUUUAACAGGUGGAGCUGGAGUCGGCAAAUCACUGGUUAUUAGUACUUUAUAUCAGACAUUAUUUCGGUUAUUUAAUGCUGAUCCUAACACCAAUCCUGAUGAUCCAAAAGUAUUAUUAUGUGCGCCAACAGGCAAAGCUAGCUUUAAUAUUGGUGGACAAACAAUUCAUUCCCUGUUCAAAUUACCAUUAAAUCAAAAAAACCUAAAUCAAUUGUCUCCAAGUGUUUCAAACACUUUGUCAACUAAGUUACGUGAACUGAAAGUUCUAAUAAUUGAUGAAAUAUCCAUGGUUGGACAACACAUAUUAGAUAUGAUUGAUCAACGAUUACGACAUUUGCUUCAAUCCAAGUUGCCUUUUGGAGGGGUAUCCAUAAUUGCUGUGGGAGACUUCCAUCAAUUGCGGCCAGUAGCUGCAAGAGCCUUAUUUUAUCCAGAGGCAAGUAAUCCUUAUCAAGAAAUUUUCAGUGAAAAAUUAUGGCCAAAAUUUAAAGUAUACGAACUGAAAUGUAUAAUGCGACAAAGUAAUAAAAAAUUCCAAACAGCAUUAAACCAUUUGGCAAAGGGAAAAUUACAGAAAGAAGACAUUGCAUUAUUCUCAUCACGAUGUUUCAAAACAGUACCUAAAAAAGAAGAUCUCUCAGAUGCAUAUCAUUUGUUUGCAAGAAAUGAUGACGUUGAUAAUUAUAAUAAUCACAUUAUGAACAAACUUAAAGGCAAAUUAAUAACUUGUGAAGCUUCUGAUGUUAUUCGGGGCAAUGGGUCUCAAUUAGCACAACGACAAAUACUGUACACUUUAAAUACAAAGAAAACAAACCAAACAAUGGGUAUACCAAAAUCUUUACCCUUAAAAAUUUCUGGAAAGUACAUGAUGACCUACAAUGUGAACACAGAGGAUGGACUUUGCAAUGGAGCAACAGGUACAUUAAUGAGGAUUGAUCAAGGAAAAAAUAAUGAUGGCGAUAAAAAGCCACUACGUUUAUGGAUUAAAUUUGAUGAUCCCAAAGUAGGAUCUUUGCUAAGAAAGAAGUUCCACAGCAAAAUGAGGAACCUACAAAUACCUGAUGAUUGGACUCCAAUUGAACCUAUUACUGUUACAAUUCAAACAAAGAAAAAUUCAACAUUGAAAGUGAAUAGAAAACAAUUCCCUUUGGUUGUUGCUCAUGCUUUCACCAUACAUAAAAGUCAAGGACAAACGUUACAGAAAGUGGUACUACAUAUAAAAGGUAGAAUGUCAAGGGAACUGUUAUAUGUAGGGUGUUCAAGAGCCACAUCACUAAAUGGUCUAUACAUAAUUGGAUCAUUCCCAAUCCCGAAACGCUUAGAGAAAACUUCACACCUUGGACAUGAAAUAAAAUCAUGGAAGAGAAGAACAUUACUUCCCAAGUACUCUUUCUUGUGUGAUAGGUCAAAAAACUUGCAAAUAGUGUACCACAACGUACAAUCACUAACUAAACAUAUUAAUUUGGUGAGAAAUGAUGAUGUUUUCAUGAACAGUGAUUUGCUAAUUUUUGGAGAAACCUGGACUUUGCACAAAGAUGUUAAUGAUUUAGAAAAUUUCACACUAUUGGCUAAAACAGACAGUGGACUCAUUCGUAAACCAAGAGGGAUUUCUGUUUAUGCUAGAAAAAACCUAUUGAAUUCAAUCAUAUCAUGUGAUGCAUAUACCAUCAAAGAUACAAAAGCUUGCAUAGAUUUUGCUGUUGUCAAAAUGACCAAUUUAACUGUUAUUGGAAUCUAUGCUUCUCCUAAAUGUGCUAUUACUCACUGGCAUAAAUUCUUCAAGAGAGUUCAGAAUGUACUACAAACAAAAUGUAUAAUUGUGGGAGAUUUCAACAUCAAUCAUAUGAAAAUGAAAAGGAGGAACUUUAUGAACAUUUUCCUCCAAAAAUUCAACCUGCAUCUUAAAAACACUUCAAUAGCAACAACACAUAGCAAUACCGCUAUUGACUGGAUACUUUCUAAUACCAGCAAACUAAAGUGCGGAACAUACAACUCACUGUUCAGCCAUCAUUACCCAUUGUGGAUUACAAAGAAAUAUGAAAACUAGAGCCAAGAAAGUUAAUUAUAAAAAACUAUCACAAGGAAAUUUAAGUGACGACAUGGAUAUUGAGCCACCAACUCUAACACACAUGACUGAUUCGGAUUCAGACUAUACUAUGACAACUCCACUAAAGUCAUCAAUUGUCUCCAGCGAAAAAAAUAUGGAGAAGCAUUACAUCAAGGAGUCUUCAAACUUCAAACCCUUCAUUAAG